AGAGAUGUCUUCCAUCUACUGGUUCACUCACCAAAUGCCCACAACACCCACGGCUGGGCCAGGUCAAAGCCAGGAGUCAGGAACUCCAUCUGGGUCUCCCAUGUGGGUGUCAGGAACCCAGGUCCUUGAGACAUCAUUUGCUACCUCCUGCAGUAAUGGAAGUGGGAGUGGGGCUUGAUCACAGGUAUUCGGAUAUGAUAUGUGUAUAUCCAAGAAACAACUUGACCCACUGUACCACAAUGCCUGUCCCCUAACAACUACAUAUUUAAUCUUCAUAAACAAACCCAUGAAGUAGUACUCCCCACCUCAUGUUAAAGGUGUGGAAACUAGGGGCCUAUAUUAUGGCUCAGUGGAUAAAGCCACUGCCUGUGACACCGACAUUCCAUAUGGACACUGGCUCAAAUCCCAGGUGCUCCACUUGCAAUCCAGCUCAAGCAGCUUACGUACUUGAGCCCCUGCCAUCCGCAUGGGAGACCGGGAAGAAACUCCUGGCUUUGGUCUGGCCCAGCCCUGGCCAUUGUGGCCAUCUAGGGAGUGAACGAGUGAAUGGAAGAUCUGUCUCUCCCUCUCUCUGUGUAACUCUGCCUUUCAAAUAAGUAAAUAAAUCUUUAAAGGCUUGGAGGAACAGGGGAAAGCCAUUCAUUGUUAUUUAUGUUAAUAACUGAUCAUUUUGGGGGGUGUGUGUGUUUAAUUCUUGAGAUGACUCUCUGAGUCAGGGAUUAAUGGACCCCUUGUAUAGAUGAACAAACAGAGGUACAACAAACAUAGUCUGCCCAAGUUCCUCCAGCUAACAAGAGACCACCUACGGGAGACAGAAGUCUGCACUUGGAUUAAGGUUAGACUGCAUGAGAUUUGAAUUUUGGGUCAAACCUCUGGUUUAUGGAGGAGCCAGUCUUUGUAGCCUGAGUUUAGAGUUGGGUUCUUAGAAAAGUCACCUGGCUGGCGCCGCGGCUCAAUAGGCUAAUCCUCCGCCUUGCGGCGCCGACACACCACGUUCUAGUCCCGGUCGGGGUGCCGGAUUCCGUCCCAGUUGCCCCUCUUCCAGGCCAGCUCUCUGCUGUGGCCCGGGAGUGCAGUGGAGGAUGGCCCAAGUGCUUGGGCCCUGCACCCGCAUGGGAGACCAGGAGAAGCACCUGGCUCCUGCCUUCGGAUCAGCGCGGUGCGCUGGGCUGCAGCGUGCCAGCCGUGGCGGCCAUUGGAGGGUGAACCAACGGCAAAGGAAGACCUUUCUCUCUGUCUCUCUCUCUCACUGUCCACUCUGCCUGUAAAAAAAAAAAAAAAAAAAAAAAGUCACCUGGAGGCGUUGGCACUGUGGCGCAGCAGGUUAAUGCCCUGGCCUGAAGCUCAGGCAUCCCAUAUGGGCACCGGUUCUAGUCCCGGCUGCUCCACUUCCUAUCAGCUCUCUGCUGUGGCCUGGGAAAACAGUGAAGGAUGGCCCAAGACCUUGGGCCCCUGCACCCGCAUGGAAGACCAGGAAGAAGCUCCUGGCUCCUGGCUUCGGAUCAGUGCAGCUCUGGCCAUUGUGGCCAAUUGGGGAGUGAACCAGCGGAUGGAAGACCGACCUCUCUCUCUCUCUCUCUCUCUCUCUGCCUCUUCUCUCUCUGUGUAACUCUUUCAAAUAAAUAAAUAAAAUCUUUAAAAAAGAAAAAAGUCACCUGGAAAAUACAAAGGAAUGCAUGGAACAAGUAGGGCCAAGGAGUGAAUUUCCAGGCAACAAAGAGCGAGGCUUUUUGGCUUUGUGGGCCAAUUCUUGCCCUCUUUCUCUCUCUUUCCCUCAAAUGUUUAUUGACCUCCGUGCCACACACAGAAGACAGACAAAGGCUGCUACUUAGUGUCCACCACUGGACAGCCAUACUCCUGCUUUGAAUUAACCUGCAGAAAUUAGGCUGUGCUUUUUGCUUCCUGGAAGGUGGUCUGAAGGCAAUGAGAGAAAAUACUUCCAGCAAGCCAAAGGGAAGCAGGAUGCCUGAUUUAAAAAUAUUAUUUGAAAGAGUUUUUUUCCCGCUUGUCAUCUGGGAGGUGGCAAGAGGAAGAGAUUUUUAUCCUAUUCAGCCGGCCAAAUAUGGCCACAAGUAGUGAGUGGCUUGGUGCCAUGCCAUUCAAGUAUAAAUUCAUUCCUCCAGGAAUUUCUGAGCCGCUGUCAGGAGCCUGGCACUAUUGUAGAAGAUGUGGAUGCGUUAAAAAAAAUAAGGCAGAGCCUCACUUUCUCCCUGGUGACCCUCACGAUGAAGUAGCGAGGAAAGCCUGGAUCUGGAGGAGCAGUGAUGCAGGCAGAGCGAGCCGUCAGCACAGAGCCUGCGCUGGGAACAGCAGUGCGGCUCACAGCGGGGCAAGUGGGAAGGGUCAGGGCGGGGGGCAAGGGACACAUCACACCCUGCUCUGUGGCCUUGAUGAAGCAUUCGACUGCUGCCCUGAAUGAGCUGGGAAUGAGCAGAGAAGGAUCAGUCUGGCUGCUCUGGGAGAGUAGACCAAGCCUGGAGCUGCGUGAGCUGUGGAAACAAUGCAGGUGGGAGAUGAUGAAGGUUUGAACCACGCUGGCCACAGAGAUGAUGAGAAGUGGUUGCCCCUGACAUCUCCUUGGAAAGCAGAACCUUCAGGACUUGCUUAUGCAUUCAGUGUGUUGGGUGAGCUACAAGCAGGAAUCAGGGAGAAUUUCUGUUUAUUUGGCUUGAAUGAUUUAAGGUGCUGCCUUCCAUGAUGGGCAAGACUGAAGGAGAAAUAGUCCAUUUUCAGCUAAAUUUGAAAACAUCACCUAUUGUGUUUUCUUUCUUAACAAAUUCACAGUAGCACAUUAAAGGUUCUGAGACUUCCAGCUGUGCAGUGUUCUAGAUUCUGAUGGGUGUGCUUUUGUUCUUUCUACCUCCAAAUGCUUCCCCAUUUUAAGUGACUUCCUGUUCCACAAAACUGGUAUUUCUGCCUCCAGUUUAACACAAGCGUUAUCUCCACACCAAAUCAGAGAGCUAACAGGAAAAUCUGAUGCCACACUCCUGCCUAAAACCCUCAAUGGCUCCCCACUGCCCUCAGGGUGAAUACCAGAUGCUUUUCCAUAUGCUUUAUGAUGUGGCUUCUACCUGCCGUUCAGAUGCGCUUUCACUCUUUGUUUUAGUUUAACACAAUAUUGUCUUUCUACCUGCUAUACCGCCCAACUUCUAUUCAAUCUGUCUGCAUGAACUUGGAUAGUACCACACUUGGAGGAAUCUCCUGACUUCUGUCUGAGUUAAGCAUCUCUGUUUUUGCUCUCCUGUUCUCUCUAGUUAGCAUUUGUCACAUGACAUUUUCAUUUAUUUCUUUCUUUCCUGCCAAGGGCUGAGCUCCAUGAAGUGAUCGUUGUAAUCCCCAGCGGCUGGCGCAGUUCCAGGCACAGAGUAAUAAUGUGUGGGGAAUCUUCCUUGGGUGAAUGGGAGAGUGAACGAGAGAUACUUUAAGAAAGAGAGAGAGAGGUUUCUUCCACAAACGCUCUCAACAGCCAGGACUGGGCCAAUCUGAAGCCAGGAGCCAGCAGCUUCAUCCCUGUCUCCCAUGUGAGUGGCCAUGCUCAAGUAUUUGAAUCAUCAUCUCUUGCUUCCCAGGGGAACGUGAGCAGGAUCUCCACGUGGGCCCAUUGGAAAAUCCCAAAAGUUAUGAGUCACUGCAGCUUCCGGGUGUCAGGUAAAGAUCGUGUCAGUCUCAGCUGCAAGCUGUACUCUACUAUUUGUUCCAAAUAUUUUCUGGUUGCAAAUGUUAUUGGUCUGACAGUUUAUUUCCCAAGACACAUUAGUUCUAAACUGAUGUGAUAAGAAAUUCUCAUCCUAAGGAAAUUGGCCUUGUGAAUGGCUUUCCCUUGGGAAGGAUACGCUGUACUUAGGGCUGUACUAAUUAGAUGAAGAAGUGGCAAAUACGAUUAGUGAGCUUGGUUGGUGAUUUUCCAAUAAUGGUGUUUGGGGCCUAUUAUUGGUUUAACUGUAAUUGAGCUUAAGAUGAUCUGAAAACGUCUAAACUAGUGUGAAAGUCACUCACAGCUUUGAUUCCAGUAGGGGUACUCAUGAAUCAGGUGGACCAGUGAUCGCUGGGUGUGCUGUGACUGGGGCACACAUUCCAGGACAGCCAUGACUUAUCUCAAAAAUACUCUUCCUUUUUACCCUGCUACUGGUGGGAGGAGACGGCUUCUUCGUCAGCUUCUGUCCUCCCCCAGACCCCACCCCCAUCGAUAUUUGGAGCUUACUCCACACUGUCUAGUA